UGGGGAAUUUUGGGCAAUGGGCGAAAGCCUGACCCAGCAACGCCGCGUGGAGGAAGAAGGCCUUCGGGUUGUAAACUCCUGUCCCGAGGGACGAAGUAGGUGACGGUACCUUGGGAGGAAGCCCCGGCUAACUCCGUGCCAGCAGCCGCGGUAAUACGGGGGGGGCGAGCGUUGUUCGGAAUUACUGGGCGUAAAGGGCGCGUAGGCGGUCUCGGAAGUUCUGGGUGAAAGUCCCCGGCUCAACCGGGGGAGGUCCCAGGAAACCACGGGGCUGGAGUGCUGGAGAGGGAAGUGGAAUUCCCGGUGGAGCGGUGAAAUGCGUAGAGAUCGGGAGGAACACCGGAGGCGAAGGCGGCUUCCUGGACAGACACUGACGCUGAGGCGCGAAAGCCAGGGGAGCGAACG
rnacentral:rRNA from 1 species